rnacentral:rRNA from 1 species
CCUACGGGAGGCAGCAGUGAGGAAUAUUGGUCAAUGGGCGCGAGCCUGAACCAGCCAAGUAGCGUGAAGGAUGACUGCCCUACGGGUUGUAAACUUCUUUUAUAAAGGAAUAAAGUGAGGCACGUGUGCCUUUUUGUAUGUACCUUAUGAAUAAGGAUCGGCUAACUCCGUGCCAGCAGCCGCGGUAAUACGGAGGAUCCGAGCGUUAUCCGGAUUUAUUGGGUUUAAAGGGUGCGUAGGCGGCCUUUUAAGUCAGCGGUGAAAGUCUGGGGCUCAACCAUAGAAGUGCCGUUGAAACUGGGGGGCUUGGGUAUGGUUGAGGCAAGCGGGAAGCGUGGUGGAACGGGGGAAUGCUUAGAUAACACGAAGAACUCCGAUUGCGAAGGCAGGUUACUAAACUGCCACUGACAUCGAUGCUCGAAAGUGUGGGGAUCAAACAGGAUUAGAUACCCUUGUUAGUC